GAGAGAAAGGAGAGUUGGAGGCAGGGAGCUGUUGAGUGGUGUGCAGGGAUGUAGGCGGCUGUAGAGGAGACAGCUGAGAGGGGAAACGUGUGCCGGACCAGCAUGGCCCCUGGAUGUGCGGAAAGAGCAGGGACGAGCACCUCACCUGGACCCCAGCGCUACUGCUGCUCAGGUGUGUGACGGAGCUGGCAAUGAGCACCAGGACAGGUGGAGGAGGAGGAGGGGUACUACUUACAUCUCACAGCACCGAAGACCAGUGAGUGGCCACUGAGCAGCGGCCUUGUCAGUCCUCGGAUCUACAGUACCGACUGUCUGGUCAUCCCUGGUUUUCCCUUGGAUCUGCUGUGAAGGAGUCUGGUCAGUCCUCGGGAUCUGGUGUCUUCAGCUCCGCUCCGGUCCUGCCUCCGUCGCCUGAUCCACCACCGCACUUCUGCUACUCAACGCCUGCAAUAUCAAGGCACACCAGGUGGAUCAAGGGACCAAGCCCAGCAGCACAACCAGUGGGAGAGAAUACUCUUCACAGGGGCGGCAGGGAGGCUUGCAUGCCCAGCAGAGGACCCCACACUCUUGUUUUUCUUCUUCUAUAGACCCUUUCAAGAGAGUUCCAUUAUCAGCAUCAUAGUUGGCCCCAUAAGGCUUCCGUUUUAACAUUCCAUAUGUUAUCUUAAUGCAGAGGAAGUAGAUUGGGAACCAAAUAGAAUGUUCAAGCAUUGUCUUUAUUUUUAUUGUUGAAAGGGUCUAUCCUCUUUCCCCCUCUAUUUGAGAGCCCACGGAGAAAAGAGAGAGAGAAAGAGAUAAGCAGAUAGAGAGAGAUAAGAGAUAGAGUAAUAAAGAGAGAGACAGAGAGAGAGAGAGAGAGAGAGAGAGAAUCACCAAUCAAGUGAGGCAAACUUAAUAACAGGUUCCCGGCGAGGGCAGUGGGAAUCCAACGCUGUCGGAGAGGAAUGGGCGUGAAAUAUUGAUGAGUGGUGAACGUGUAGAGAACGCUGUGGCCAUCCCGACAUCCGCGGCCAAGCAGCGACGGCUACCACACCAGGCCACACGACCACAACACGACUCAUCUACAAGCAUCAGACGUCGGCCACAACAGCAUCGCAGAGUCCAGCUUGAACACUAACGCCCAGUAGUGAGUUUGAUAUUGACCGGACCCACCUCCCUGCCUGAUGGACUGACCACAAGAGAACUUUUAGGAGCCACAGCAGGCUUUUAAGGAUUUCAAUGAUACGGAUGCUGCUCUAGAGCUUAGUGAAUCUGUUCUAUCACACAGGACCUCUAGAGCUUGCUGUAGUGAAUCUGUUCUAGCACACAGGACCUCUAGAGCUUACUGUAGUGAGUCUGUUCUAGCACACAGGACUAGGAUCUGUUGACUAAUCUGCUGUGACACAGAGGAGUCAGAUCAGUACCAAGAUCUGUUUUUAGGAAGAACCGUUUUAAUACAAAGGUUGUCUUUUCUACCACACCAAAAUUAAAAUUGGGAUCAGAAAAGUGGUAGUACUAGGACCUGUAAAUCUCCAGUGAAACUGUUCCAGCUUUGGGAUGAGGGGAAUCUACUGUAGACUGAGAUAAUACUGAAAAAACGUUUGACGUAGCUAAAGAGAUCAUAGAAAACAAAAAUUUUUGGGACCACAUAAGGGUCCGGGAUGAUGUUUUGAGAUCAGCCUUGUCUUUCUGACAGAAAGAGAGAAAGCAAGAGAACGAGAGAGGAUCAUGUUUUGAGAUCAGCCUUGUGUGAGUGUCUGUGUGACACAGAGAGAGAGAGAAAGCAAGAGAGAACGAGAGAGCUCAGCGAGCCUGCUGUAGGACAGAUCUAAUUAAUAAUAAUCAUUGUUUGAAGUACCUGUGGUCACUAGUGAGGGUCAGUGUUGCGGGGCAAAGGGCUGUGUGCAGAGAGGGGACCCCCUCUCCCCCCAGUGCGGCCCGCUGACGAGAGGGAGAGCUGGCCAAGACGGGCGGCCGGUGCCGAGGCUUCAGGGAGGGGGCUGGGAGGGGGCUGGCCCGGGCGCUGGAGCUAUGGAAACACUACCGGAGUAAGAGAGGAGGGAACGCGGAACCAGUGCCUACCACCCGGUACAAUGUGUGGCAUAGUACCCUCUGGGCGUGGGGAACAGUGAUCCUAAAGAUGGUUCCUCAUGGUGCCCACACCUGCAGCGCGUACAGCACCCCCACCGUGGACCCGGCGGACGACCGCGAGGAGAGGAUCCUGGCCAUCCUGGGGAUCAUCGGGACCGUGCUCAACCUGCUGGUGGUCAUCUUCGUCUACAUAUACACCACCAUUUGACCCUCAAACUGCUGGAGGUCAUCUUUGCCCAUAUCUAUGUAAUCAUCUGACCUCCAUCAGGGCUGUGCUCAACCUGUUGGUGCUCCUUUUCAUCUACAUAUACACCUAUUUGACCUUCAUCACCUGCAGGAGGUCAUCUCCCUACACAUAUACAUUACAAUCAGACCUUCAACCUGCUGGAGGUCAUCUUCUUCUACAUAUAAACCACAAUUUGACCUUCAUCACCUGCUGGAGGUCAUCUUCUUCUACAUAUAAACCACAAUUUGAGCUUCAUCACCUGCUGGAGGUUAUCUUUGUCUACAUAUAAAUGACCAUUUGAGCUUCAUCACCUCCUGGAGGUCAUCUUCGUCUACAUAAUAAGCCACCAUUUGACCUGAAUCCUCCUUUUGGUCUGCAUCUACAGCAGUGUUUUUCCUAGCGCAUGCUGAAUCUCUGCUUCGUCAACGUUGUCUGUAUCACUUGACCACCAGGCUGCCUGUCAGUAUAGUCCUCAUACUUUCAUUUCCAUUUUUGUCUAAAUCUCCACUACUAUCUGACCCGCUGACCACAGGGCCCGUCCUUACACACACACACACACACACACACACACACACACACACACACACACACACACACACACACA